rnacentral:rRNA from 1 species
AUCCAUGUCCAGGUUGAAGUUGCCGUAAAAGGCAAUGGAGGACCGAACCCACAUCCGUUGAAAAGGGUGGGGAUGAGGUGUGGAUAGGGGAGAAAUUCCAAUCGAACCCGGAGAUAGCUGGUUCUCCUCGAAAUAGCUUUAGGGCUAGCCUCAUAUAAGUCUUGCGGAGGUAGAGCACUGAAUUUCCUAGGGGGCGUCAAAGCUUACCGAAGAAUAUCAAACUCCGAAUGCCGUGUAGAUGUUGUAUGGGAGUCAGACUGUACGAGAUAAGUUGGACAGUCAAAAGGGAAAGAGCCCAGACCUGCAGCUAAGGCCCCAAAAUGUGUGUUAAGUGGAAAAGGAUGUGGGAUUUCAAAGACAACUAGGAUGUUGGCUUAGAAGCAGCCAUACAUUCAAAGAGUGCGUAAUAGCUCACUAGUCGAGAGGUCCUGCGCCGAAAAUGUCCGGGGCUGAAACACACUGCCGAAGCUCAGGAAUGUACCUAGUACAUUGGUAGAGGAGCAUUGUAUACGGGACGAAGCAGUACCGAUAAGGAGCUGUGGACUGUAUAGAAGAGAGAAUGCCGGAAUGAGUAGCGAGAGGAAGGUGAGAAUCCUUCCGGCCGAAUAUCUAAGGUUUCCAGAGUAAAGCUGAUCUGCUCUGGGUAAGUCGGGGCCUAAGGCCAGGUCGAAAGACGUAACCGAUGGACAACAGGUUGAAAUUCCUGUACCUUAAGUAAACAGAACUGUGGGGACACGUGUGGAGAGCACAAGCCGGAAAUGGAAAAGCCGGUGCAAGCGAGGUAGGAGAUGAAUAGGCAAAUCCGUUCAUCAAUCCGAAGACGUGAUGCGGACCGAAUUAAGAGUAGGGAAGUGUGUGAGCCAUGCGUCAAGAAAAGCCGCUAUUGUUUUACUUAAGCCCGUACCGUAAACCGACACAGGUGGAUGAGGAGAGAAUCCUAAGGCCGACGGGAGAAGCAUUGUUAAGGAACUCGGCAAAAUGACUCCGUAACUUCGGGAGAAGGAGUGCCAGCGAGAGCUGGCCGCAGAGAAUUGGCCCAAGCAACUGUUUAGCAAAAACACAGGUCUAUGCAAAACCGUAAGGUGAAGUAUAUGGGCUGACGCCUGCCCGGUGCUGGAAGGUUAAGAGGAGAGGUUAGCGGUAACGCGAAGCUUUGAAUUUAAGCCCCAGUAAACGGCGGCCGUAACUAUAACGGUCCUAAGGUAGCGAAAUUCCUUGUCGGGUAAGUUCCGACCCGCACGAAAGGCGUAAUGAUUUGGGCACUGUCUCAAC